rnacentral:lncRNA from 1 species
CCAAGUUUGGCCGAAACCAAGCUGACGAGCAAAAAAUUGGGGAGCAUAAAUUUCUACCCCCGCUUUGGCAUUGGUCCCAGUUAAGAUAUCAUGAAAAAGCUCCCUCCCGGUUAAAAACUGGAUCCAAAUGAGCAGGGAGGUGCUCGCGCUAUCUAUAGUGGAAGGGGGAUGUACAUAAUUCGGAGUCAAAAAAGAAGGAAAAGGAAAAAAGGAAGAGAUUGAAUCCAAAGAAUAAAAGAACGAAAAAAUGUCCCUUCUGGACAUAUUUACAGGAGCUAAGGGCUCAAUGGCUAGCCCAUGGCAGCUGGCAGAAGAACGAGAAAUUGAAGGAGCCCAAGCGAUGGGAAAUAGGAUCUCAACCACAGUUGAGUGAACCAAAGGGGUCCACUGCCAGUGGGAGAUGCACUAUUCUUCGAUUGAGCUUGAAGAGAGGCCAUGCCCCUAUAAAGAGCAGCCAAAAACAAAGAACACAAAUUCAAAGGCCUGCCACGCGCCAAUUCGUGCGCUAUAGGUAAAUAACUCAAGGAGGGCUUUAUGCUUGGCACUCACAAAACAUAUUUACAAAGCCAAACUAAAAGAAAGGCCACUCGCUCAGUAUGGGAAGGCUCAGCACUCGAAUGAUUAUGGAGGGUCUGCAGGCUUGAAUAAGAAUCAGUGUAGUUUUUACCAAACUUUGGGGUGCCACCAGAAACUAAGAUACCUGGAAAAAUGGUAUCGCCCAAAGGUGGUAGAUUCACCAGGGCCCCAACAUCCCUUAGAGUAAUAGACAUAGGGCCGAGAGGGAAAAUAAAGGUAUUAUACUCGGAAGACCAAAAGCUCAAAGCAAUCGAAAAAAGUGCAGAAUCAAAAGUAGGAGGGCGAAUAGAGAUUUCUAACAAAUCAGAAAUCCUAACACUAUCAAAGAGUACCUUAGUAGGACCAUGACCCACAAGGCGAGCAUGCCACCUACGAAAAGCUACAUCAGAUUUAGGUCAAGUGCGAAUACCUCUUUCGCGAAGUGGCCCCA